UAUGUGAUCGUCUCUCGCAUAUCAAUAAGCGGAGGAAAAGAAACUAACAAGGAUUCCCCUAGUAACGGCGAGUGAAGCGGGAAGAGCUCAAAUUUGAAAUCUUAAAGGGUUUCCCUUUACGAAUUGUAGUUUAAAGAAGUGUUUUCUGUUGAGGUUUUGGUAAAAGUUCUUUGGAAUAGGACAUCAUAGAGGGUGAGAAUCCCGUAUUUGACCUUUACUUUCAACUUUGUGAUACACUUUCAAAGAGUCGGAUUGUUGGGAAUGCAGUCCAAAAUGGGUGGUAAAUUUCAUCUAAAGCUAAAUAUUGGCGAGAGACCGAUAGCGAACAAGUACCGUGAGGGAAAGAUGAAAAGAACUUUGAAAAGAGAGUUAAACAGUACGUGAAAUUGUCAAAAGGGAAGCGUUGACACCAGUGUUGUUUUUCUGAAAAUCAAUUAAAGAACUGUUUAUGCUAAGCUGUUUAGACUUUAUCAGCUAUCUGUUUAGUUUUGAGCUUUUCUUUAAUGCACUUUUCAGUUAACAAGUCAACAUCAAUUUCUUUUGCUGUAAAAAAGCUUGAGGGAGGUGGCUUGAGAUUCGUCUUAAGUGUUUAUAGCCUCUUGCCUAUGCAGUCGGAGAGAUUGAGGUCUGCAGCGUAGAUCCUUCGGGGCUAAAUGCAUUUGUGCUAAGUUAUAACAUUUUAUAGACAACUUGUUGACUAUGAUUUGUCUUGUAGCUUACUCGCUUAUGUUAUUUUACCUACGCUUAGGAUGUUGAAGUCAUCGUAUCGCG
rnacentral:rRNA from 1 species